rnacentral:rRNA from 1 species
AUUGAACGCUGGCGGCAGGCCUAACACAUGCAAGUCGAGCGGAUGAAGGGAGCUUGCUCCUGGAUUCAGCGGCGGACGGGUGAGUAAUGCCUAGGAAUCUGCCUGGUAGUGGGGGAUAACGUCCGGAAACGGGCGCUAAUACCGCAUACGUCCUGAGGGAGAAAGUGGGGGAUCUUCGGACCUCACGCUAUCAGAUGAGCCUAGGUCGGAUUAGCUAGUUGGUGGGGUAAAGGCCUACCAAGGCGACGAUCCGUAACUGGUCUGAGAGGAUGAUCAGUCACCGUGGAACUGAGACACGGUCCAGGCUCCUACGGGAGGCAGCAGGGGGGAAUUUUGGACAAUGGGCGAAAGCCUGAUCCAGCCAUGCCGGGUGUGUGAAGAAGGUCUGCGGAUUGUAAAGCCCUUUAAGUUGGGAGGAAGGGAAGUAAGUUAAAACCUUGCUUUUUUGACGUUACCAACAAAAUAAGCACCGGCUAACUUCGU